ACCUGGCUGGCUGAGACAGUAGAGCAUGUGACUGUUGAUCUCGGGGUCAUGAGUUCAAACCCCGUGUUGGGUA
rnacentral:tRNA from 1 species